ACGGGACCCGCACAAGCGUGGAUGAUGUGGUUUAAUUCGAUGCAACGCGAAAACCUUACCCACCUUUGACAUGUACGGAAGCCUUUAGAGAUAGAGGCGUGCUCGAAAGAGAGCCGUAACACAGGUGCUGCAUGGCUGUCGUCAGCUCGUGUCGUGAGAUGUUGGGUUAAGUCCCGCAACGAGCGCAACCCUUGUCAUUAGUUGCUACAUUCAGUUGGGCACUCUAAUGAGACUGCCGGUGACAAGCCGGAGGAAGGUGGGGAUGACGUCAAGUCCUCAUGGCCCUUAUAGGUGGGGCUACACACGUCAUACAAUGGCUGGUACAAAGGGCAGCGAAACCGCGAGGUCGAGCGAAUCUCAAAAAACCCAUCAUAGUCCGGAUUGCAGUCUGCAACUCGACUGCAUGAAGUUGGAAUCGCUAGUAAUCCCGGAUCAGCAUGCCGGGGUGAAUACGUUCCCGGGCCUU
rnacentral:rRNA from 1 species